GGCACUUUAACAUAUCUUUGAUCUUUUUAAGGUCAGGUUCCCCAAGUUUUUUUUCCUAUUAACUUCACAAGAAAAUGUAGAACCAUCACGGGGUUGGGGGAGGAUAAGAAAUACAAGCACAGCCAUAAAAGUGAUCAUCUUGACCACCACAAACAUCACAUACAUUCCAUAUAUAAGAUUCAGUUGGUGCAAAUAACUCGCUCUCGAAAAUAUUUUGACAAUUUUGCCACAAGUGAUUUCCUCCAUAAUAAGUACAAGGAAGAUUAACACUAGAAUUACCAACAUCGAAACUCCCAUUAUUCCAAGAUGCCAUGUUUCUCAAUUCAACAAUUAAAACUAAAAUAAAAAAAAUCAAAUAUCUAAAAAAAGAACAAAAUAAAAGUUCAAACUUGAAACCUAGCAAUAUGUACAACUACAACCACAUCAUUAGUUCCUCGGCAACGACAUAAAAUUUGAUCACGCCCAACUCUAGUCCCAAAAAGGAUAAGCGAUCGCUGCAAAAAUAAUUCAGUCUAAAAGUUCGGAGUCAAAUCCCACAGAUAACUAAGGCUUAGCUACAACUAUUCAGUAUUGCUAUGAAAUACAAGUUCAAAUAAUUUCCUAAUUAUAAAGAUUGUAUUUUUUUAACCUAAUUAAUUAACAAAUACUAAAAGCAGUAAAAUUAUCAACUAACAAGACUAAGGGCUGGAGACAAGAUUAAGGAGGCCAAAAGUUAUGAUUUUUCCGAUUGUCAGAAUCCUUCACGCUAGGUGUCACACCUCCUUUUUGCGCGCCCCGCCCCGAAGGGUAGAAAUGCGCGAGGGAGUUUUUCCAAUUUAAGUGACAAGAUUCGAAAUGGGAUUAUUUAUUUAAUUCAGAGUCGCCACUUGGGAAAUGUUUGGCUUUUGGUGUCCCAAGUCACCGGUUUAUCUUGAAUCCCAAAUCGAGGAAAUUUUCGACUUUUCCAAAUGAAGUCUGCGAACCAGAAAUUCUAAGUAAGGAAUUCUGUUGACCCGAGGGAAGGUGUUAGGCACCCUCGAAUCCCGUGGUUCUAGCACGGUCGCUUAAAUUGUUAUAAUGGCUAAAUAUCUGAUUUAAAUACAUGUUAUGACUUACGUGCUUUUAUUAAGUUUAAACCGCUUUUAUUAUUAUCAUUAAUUUUUAUAGAAUUGCAACGUCGUGGAAAUGCAUCUCGAACCACGUCACAAUCAAUGCACCCGUGGUCGUCGACACAUUUUGACUCCGUUGAGAUUUGGAUUUGGGUCACAUCAAUGUGCACCCGUGUUUAAGAAGGUUAAAUUAUUAAAGGUACGCCUAAAGCAACUAGCGUAUUGUUAUUUUAGGAAGAGGCCGUGAAGGUUCAUUAAACGGCCAAAUCCAAAGUCUAGUCAAUGGUUAUGCAUUUUAUUGAGGGCCCCGGCGGUUUGUGAUUUAUUUGGCGAGGCUCGUCUCAUUUUUAUUUUAAAGGAUAAACCUAUAGUGACUAUAUUUUCUAUUAAGUUCGUCUCUAAAAUAAAAGAAAAUCUCUUAAUUAUUUACAUGCUGAAAACGUAACUUAUUAGUUAUUAGUUUACGGCUAAUGCGAUUGGAAAAUUGCAAUCGAGUUUUUACAAAGAAAAACUGCUUUCAUUUUUAUAUUCCAUUAUUUACUAAUGCUGGAACAUGAGAGGGAUACACAAUAAUAUCAAAGCCGAUUAACUAUUCUUCAAGUAAUUUAAACUAGCAUUAUUAGAUGAAGCAAUCAUACAUAUGCAGCCUCAUUACUCAUUAAUUAAUCGACUACAUUUUUAUACAAAGAGAGGAAAAUUAAUAUUCAAACACAGAUCCAAACAAAAGAAUUCAACAGGAACAGGAGCCUGAUUAAUAUUUCAUUUUUUCGCUUCAAGCCAAGAGUGUACAAAUGUGUACCUGGAAACAGCAGUACAAGAACAAAAGAAGUAGGAGUCAGCAACAGUAAUAACGCGGCAACAGCAGGUUCAGCAACACCGCAAAACCAGCAACAACCAGUAGAAUAACCCAGUAGCAGAUUGAAAACUCAGCAAUGCAAAAGUACAAUCGCAGUCAAAGCAGAAAGAGAAAAGAUAUGAGAUGCAGUAGUUUCUAACUUUUGAAUAACACUCGA
rnacentral:lncRNA from 1 species